rfam:Candidatus Woesebacteria bacterium RIFCSPLOWO2_01_FTLL_39_25 rifcsplowo2_01_scaffold_750, whole genome shotgun sequence.
GAAAACUUUACUUGGCUGGAUAUUUGAAUGACGGGUACGACCCGAAAAAUAUUCCAGCUCUUUUAGAACAGAGAUUUACGUUGCCCUUACCGUACAAAGAAGGAGAAAAACCUCUAAAGAUAGGUGGUGUUAUGGAUAGAGUGGAUCUACAGA